rnacentral:rRNA from 1 species
UACGUAGGGGCCUAGCGUUGUCCGGAUUUAUUGGGCGUAAAGAGCUCGUAGGCGGUUUGGUGAGUCGGGUGUGAAAUCUCCACGCUCAACGUGGAGGGGCCACCCGAUACUGCCAUGACUAGAGUCCGGUAGGGGAGUGUGGAAUUCCUGGUGUAGCGGUGAAAUGCGCAGAUAUCAGGAGGAACACCGGUGGCGAAGGCGGGUCUCUGGGCAACAACUGACGCUGAGGAGCGAAAGCGUGGGGAGCGAACAGG